rnacentral:rRNA from 1 species
AGUGAACGCUGGCGGCAGGCCUAACACAUGCAAGUCGAGCGGCAGCGCGGGGGCAACCCUGGCGGCGAGCGGCGGACGGGUGAGGAAUUCGUCGGAAUCUGCCUUUUUGUGGGGGAUAACGUAGGGAAACUUACGCUAAUACCGCAUACGUCCUACGGGAGAAAGUGGGGGACCGCAAGGCCUCACGCAGAAAGAUGAGCCGACGACCGAUUAGCUAGUUGGUGGGGUAAAGGCCCACCAAGGCGACGAUCGGUAGCUGGUCUGAGAGGAUGAUCAGCCACACUGGGACUGAGACACGGCCCAGACUCCUACGGGAGGCAGCAGUGGGGAAUAUUGGACAAUGGGCGCAAGCCUGAUCCAGCCAUGCCGCGUGUGUGAAGAAGGCCUUCGGGUUGUAAAGCACUUUUGUCCGGAAAGAAACCCCUGGAGCUAAUACCUUCGGGGGAUGACGGUACCGGAAGAAUAAGCACCGGCUAACUUCGUG